GUGCUCCCUUUGGUAGCACAUACACUAAAAUUGGAACUAUACAGAGAAGAUUAGCAUGGCCCCUGCGCAAGUAUGACACGCAAAUUCGAGAAGCAUUCCAUAAAAAA